CUGAGUUUCCGUGUACGUUUCCUGAUGAAUGGCGCGGGAAUGAGUUUUAUAUAUACAGUGGGUCACCCCCCAUUUUAUCAGCAAUUUGGUACUUUGAGGAAAACGGUGAUGAAUUUGAAGCAGAUGGUGAUCCAGCUUUUUGUUAUCAGAUUACAGAUCAAUUUUAUGUUAUCAGAUACACUGUACAUGGUCAAGACACAUUUAAAUGUUUGACGAUAGAUUAUACUCCAGGUGAAAAAUCAUUUACAAUUGGAAACAAAGGCAAUCCACAGACAGUAAAUCAACUGCAACGUCGAGCUUUCAAUGAAACUGUUGUGUGCAGUCUUUGUGCCGACCUUACAAAUCAGUUUCAACUUGCCAUUG